GCCGAGGGGCGAAGCGAUGAACCACCGGGCGAGUAUGGUCGCCGGUCCGGUGGGGAGCUAGAGGCGAACCCACCGCCUGGGAGC
rnacentral:ncRNA from 1 species